GAUUUACUCCCUCCGUCCGGAAAAGCUUGUCCCUUGGAUGGAUGUAUCUAGCACUAAUUUGAUAUUAGAUGCAUUCAUUUGAGGGACAAGCUUUUUCGGACCGAGGGAGUAUAUG
rfam:Triticum aestivum genome assembly, contig: Triticum_aestivum_CS42_TGACv1_scaffold_594125_7BS